UGAAUACGAGACGCUACGGCGUCGAAGCAGUCUAUGUCAUACUUCCUAGAAAAGCUUGCACUGUCAUAAACAAAUAAUGCCUGUACCAUAACCGACACAGGUGGGUAGGUAGAGUAUACUAAGGGGCGCGAGAUAACUCUCUCUAAGGAACUCGGCAAAAUGACUCCGUAACUUCGGGAGAAGGAGUGCCUUAUUUAUAAGGUUGCAAUAACAAGAUCCAAGCAACUGUUUAUCAAAAACACAGGUCUCCGCUAAGUCGUAAGACGAUGUAUGGGGGCUGACGCCUGCCCAGUGCCAGAAGGUUAAAGAAGUUGGUUAGCAUUAGCGAAGCUGAUAACUGAAGCCCUGGUGAACGGCGGCCGUAACUAUAACGGUCCUAAGGUAGCGAAAUUCCUUGUCGGGUAAGUUCCGACCCGCACGAAAGGCGUAAUGAUUUGGAUACUGUCUCAGAGAGGGGCUCGGUGAAAUAGACUUGUCUGUGAAGAUGCGGACUACCUGCACCAGGACAGAAAGACCCUAUGAAGCUUUACUGUAACUUGAAAUUGAAAUUGGACUUUAUUUGCGCAGUAUAGGUGGGAGGCAUUGAUAAUAUUCUUGCGGGAAUGUUGGAGCCAUCAGUGAGAUACCACUCUUGUAAUGUUAGAUUUCUAACUUUGGAUCAUUAUCUGGUCAAAGGACAGUUUCAGGCGGGCAGUUUGACUGGGGCGGUCGCCUCCUAAAUGGUAACGGAGGCGCACAAAGGUUUCCUCUGAACGGGUAGAAAUCGUAUCUAGAGUGUAAAGGCAUAAGGAAGCUUGACUGUGAGACCUACAAGUCGAGCAGGGACGAAAGUCGGUCUUAGUGAUCUGACGGUGCUGAGUGGAAAGGCCGUCACUCAACGGAUAAAAGUUACUCUAGGAUAACAGGCUGAUCUCCCCCAAGAGUUCACAUCGACGGGGAGGUUUGGCACCUCGAUGUCGGCUCAUCGCAUCCUGGGGCGGUAGUACGUCCCAAGGGUUGGGCUGUUCGCCCAUGAAAGCGGUACGCGAGCUGGGUUCAGAACGUCGUGAGACAGUUCGGUCCAUAUCCGGUGUAGGCGUUAGAAUAUUGAGAGGAGCCUUCUUUAGUACGAGAGGACCGAGAAGGACAUACCUCUGGUGUACCAGUUAUCGUGCCAACGGUAAACGCUGGGUAGCUAUGUAUGGAGAGGAUAACCGCUGAAAGCAUCUAAGUGGGAAGCCUACCUCAAGAUAAG
rnacentral:rRNA from 1 species